rnacentral:lncRNA from 1 species
AACAAAAGUCCAAAUUAAUUUGCAUGUUCAAUAUACUGUAACGGGAGGUUGGUCAAAAUUCAACUUCGAGUUCAGGGGAUCACAUUAAUAUCCUCAACGUUUGUGAGAAGGCUGCCCAAAUUGGGUCUUUGUACAAACCUCAAAGGAAGAGGUAGCCUUGAAUCAGGACGGGGCCACACCUCCAAAAGGGCCCAAACCAAUUUCACUUCAAUCACACUAGUAGGCUAAAUAAUCAUUGAUCUAGUUUUGAACAAUAGCCAUCAACAAAAUACCAUAGACCUAUUAUCUAUUCUGUUAUGAGUCUUUCAGUUUUAAUCACAUUUUGACCAAGUGUAUUAUCCCAAAAUACGUACAGGGAUCAAAGAUACUAAAGUAACUAGAAUUUAGAAUUAUCACAAAACAAAACUUAUUUGCACCAUCUUUAGAUUAGCACUGGAAUUCGAAUUUAAAGUUUUCAAUAUCAGGGACGGCUUAGUUUUAUGACAAUGCAACACAUAAAUUCAAUUUUUUCUUCUAAACGACGUCUAUUAUAUUUGAAACUUUGAAUCCACUAGAGAAUCGUUAGUCAGCUAAUAGUUUCUAGAGUUCAAAUUAAUACAAAACAUGUAAUUACAAAACCAACAGUCAUCGAAUUGAUUGACUAAUUCCAGUAGUGAAUUUCCAGUUUCAAACAAUUCAUAGUCAAGUAACUAAGCUGAAAUAGUAUACGAAAAUGAAUUACACUUCAACAGAGAGUUCAAUAUGAGAAAAUAAUCAUCACUUCAUUCCAUUUCCCAAAAAUUCGGAGGGUUAUAGGACAUGUACAUGGAAAAUAGAAAGUGAAACAAGUGAGGAUCAGGAGCAAUGAGUAGACAGUCAAACAUUAAAUCAAAAUUGAGCUCACAACUCAAUAUAUAACAUCAAAUCACUCCAGGAUUGAGUUUUUAAAUUACAUCAUUCAACAUUCAGCCCAGUAAACUUGAAUAAACUCAACCAACAAGCAAUUGAACCCAGGAAUAAAAUACAAGAAACCAGUUGAACCACUAGCUAACUCAAACCAAUCAAAUUCGAACCAAACUGAUUCCAAGCGUCGCCACAUUUCAAAAACAAAAAUAUAAACAAAGAAGUUAAAAUUGUUUCUAAUCCUAGACGAGCUAAGUAGUGGAAUUCAUGGCUCAAAAUUUGAAAAUGAUCUAAGAAAAAAAAAGCAAUGGAACAGUAACUUAUUUUUUGUUUUCUCUUGUUCUUUGUUUUUGUUUUUGGUUUUUUGAUGAUUUAAAGUUUUAAUUUCACGUUUCAGAUCUGAAAUUGGUGAACAAUUGGAGAUAAUUUUUGAGAGGCUCCAAAGUUUUUUUUUAACGUAGGGGAGGAGUGCCUUUUGUUGGAAGAAAAUUAGGGAAGCUUCUAGGUUGCACUAUCCAUUUUCUCCCUCUUUUUAUUUUCAUUUUUACCGAACUAGUCAUCUAUUCUCUGAAUUGCUGCCUAAGUUAAGCUGCUUGGAAGCAAAAAAUUAUCCCAAACCCUACUAGAAGAUUCCCAUUUCAGUUGCCUUAAAGCUUCCUACAUGUGUUGCCCCAAUUACCCUUCAAACCCCCUGGAAUUACCUAAUUCACCAACGUAAUGAUAUGGGUCCACGACCCAAUUCAUUAAGUCAAAAAGAAAGCUCGAAUGAAUACUUUAUUACCUACAGCCCAUUCCUCAAUCAAAAAUUGGGCUCAAAAUCACCACCAGCACAUUUUCCAUCACGGAAUCAAUUCAUCCUUUAACAAGAAUAUACAGAAAACUAGUCUAACAACAAGAUAUCAAAACAAGCUGAAUUUCCUAACUAUGCGAAUGAAACUCAACACGACCCCAAAAUUAAAACUCGUUAUACUUAGCACAAAACUAACAACAAUCGAUUAAAUUAAUUGACAAACAUGAUUAUAGAAAAUAAAGACGAUGACAGAGAAUAUUGGCUAAAAUCCUAGAACAUGAAUUAAAAAAAUGACGAAAAAAUAUGCAAGCACAUAUGGGUAGGCCAGAGAAAAGAAGAAAAGAAAAAAUGAAUGGAGGAACAUAAAUCAAGCGGAGACUCACCGACUCCAACUUGGAAUCGACAGAAACUCUAAGUCAACCCAAAACCAUGUCGAACGAUCUUGAAAACAAACAAGGACUUCAAAAUAGUGACCUUGCAUGCACAAGCCCAAUUAUUACUCCUAAGUCUCGAACCUUGGAUUUCAAAUUCGAGAAGCCCUGGGUGCAUUUGAAGGAGGAUAAUGAUGGAUUUGUGACGAGGGAAGUCUGAUGGUCUUGGGGUGUUAUUCUAGUAGGGUUUGGAAUUGCUUCGUCAGUAAUAAUGGUGAUUCUAGGGCUUUGAGAUAAAGGGGAUGGGGGAGAUGAAGAAGAUGAGAGACAGAAUAAAUGACCCAUCUCUAAGGAUUUUCAGAGAAUCUCAAGGGAAUGGGGACUUAGUUCUGAACCGUUCGAUCUUGAGGAAUCAAUGGAUGAGAUUCAUUUGGGUGAGUACGUCGUCGUUUUGGUAAAGGGUGUUGUGCCGG